CCACACAUCAGUUACCAAGAGAAGAGCUUUCAAGCAUUCGCUUGGCGAUGUAAACAUAACCGCUGUGAAUGCAACCAUAGCCAACCAAUCUAAAUAAAUGAAAGACAUUUUGAGCAAAUUUGGCUAUGAAAUUUUUCAGAACAUAUUAUUUUUUCCAACAUAAUUAAGAUAUUUCAUACUUUGUGAUAUAAUGGACAAAUAUGAAAAAUGGAUUUUUAAACAGUAUCCAACAAAAUACAAUAGCGUGAUUGAUAAAAAACUGAAUUGACCUUCCAAAAUGUUUAUAGUAAAUAGGACGAUCAGAGAAAAAAAGAGAUUCAAAUUAAUCGAUUACUUAUAUCUACUUCAACAACUGCAGUUACAUCAAAAUUAAAUAUACAUGAAUCAAUAUCAAUGAUGCGGUCAAGUCAAAGAAUAGAUUGCACUUUCAAUGCCUGGAGUCUGCUUGGUUCAUAGUUUUAAUUUUAUAAGGACAAAAUGCCACAGUAUGUGUAAUAUGUACCAUUACUCAAUAAAAAAAUAUUCUUCUAAUAGCCGGUACUGCUAUAAAUGUAUCAUUUGAUGUUCGGGCUAAAAGUGAAUUGCUUCUUCUCAAGGGAAAAAACGUUAUUUUAAUUUUUUAAUUUAAAUUAGUUA